rnacentral:rRNA from 1 species
CGGGGCCUACGGGGGGCAGCAGUGGGGGAUAUUGGACAAUGGGGGCAACCCUGACCCAGCCAUGCCGCGUGAGUGAAGAAGGUCUUCGGAUUGUAAAGCUCUUUCGGACGUGACGAUGAUGACGGUAGCGUCUAAAGAAGCACCGGCAAACUUCGUGCCAGCAGCCGCGGUAAUACGAAGGGUGCGCGCGUUGUUCGGAAUUACUGGGCGUAAAGGGAGUGUAGGCGGAUAUGUAAGAUAGCGGUGAAAUGCCGGGGC